GACGAACGCUGGCGGCGCGCCUAACACAUGCAAGUCGAACGAGAGAUGAAGAGCUUGCUUUUCAAAUCGAGUGGCGAACGGGUGAGUAACGCGUGAGGAACCUGCCUCAAAGAGGGGGACAACAGUUGGAAACGACUGCUAAUACCGCAUAAGCCCACGGCUCGGCAUCGAGCAGAGGGAAAAGGAGUGAUCCGCUUUGAGAUGGCCUCGCGUCCGAUUAGCUAGUUGGUGAGGUAACGGCCCACCAAGGCGACGAUCGGUAGCCGGACUGAGAGGUUGAACGGCCACAUUGGGACUGAGACACGGCCCAGACUCCUACGGGAGGCAGCAGUGGGGAAUAUUGCACAAUGGGGGAAACCCUGAUGCAGCGACGCCGCGUGGAGGAAGAAGGUCUUCGGAUUGUAAACUCCUGUUGUUGAGGAAGAUAAUGACGGUACUCGACAAGGAAGUGACGGCUAACUACGUGCCAGCAGCCGCGGUAAAACGUAGGUCACAAGCGUUGUCCGGAAUUACUGGGUGUAAAGGGAGCGCAGGCGGGAGAACAAGUUGGAAGUGAAAUCCAUGGGCUCAACCCAUGAACUGCUUUCAAAACUGUUUUUCUUGAGUAGUGCAGAGGUAGGCGGAAUUCCCGGUGUAGCGGUGGAAUGCGUAGAUAUCGGGAGGAACACCAGUGGCGAAGGCGGCCUACUGGGCACCAACUGACGCUGAGGCUCGAAAGUGUGGGUAGCAAACAGGAUUAGAUACCCUGGUAGUCCACACCGUAAACGAUGAUUACUAGGGGUUGGAGGGAUGAACCCCUUCAGUGCCGCAGUUAACACAAUAAGUAAUCCACCCUGGGGAGUACGACCGCAAGGUUGAAACUCAAAGGAAUUGACGGGGGCCCGCACAAGCAGUGGAGUAUGUGGUUUAAUUCGACGCAACGCGAAGAACCUUACCAAGUCUUGACAUCCUGCGACGCACAUAGAAAUAUGUGUUUCCUUCGGGACGCAGAGACAGGUGGUGCAUGGUUGUCGUCAGCUCGUGUCGUGAGAUGUUGGGUUAAGUCCCGCAACGAGCGCAACCCUUAUGGUCAGUUACUACGCAAGAGGACUCUGGCCAGACUGCCGUUGACAAAACGGAGGAAGGUGGGGAGGACGUCAAAUCAUCAUGCCCCCUAUGACUUGGGCUACACACGUACUACAAUGGCGUUAAACAAAGAGAAGCAAGACCGCGAGGUGGAGCAAAACUCAGAAACAACGUCCCAGUUCGGACUGCAGGCUGCAACUCGCCUGCACGAAGUCGGAAUUGCUAGUAAUCGUGGAUCAGCAUGCCACGGUGAAUACAAUGCCGGGCCUUGCACA
rnacentral:rRNA from 1 species